GAGGGAUGUGGUGACAGACUGUUCCUUAAGCAGAGAAUGAGCUUACUGUCUCAAAUGACUUCAACUCCCAUUGACUGCCUAUUUAAGCACAUUGCAUCAGGUAACCAUAUGGAAGUGGAAAGACUUCUGAGCCAAGAUGACCAUGAUAAAGAUGCCAUCCAAAAGAUGUGUCACCCUCUGUGCUUCUGUGAUGACUGCGAGAAACUUGUCUCUGGGAGGCUGAACGAUCCCUCUGUUGUCACCCCAUUCUCCAGAGAUGACAGAGGUCAUACACCUCUUCAUGUGGCUGCUCUCUGUGG